rnacentral:rRNA from 1 species
AAGUGGGGAUGACGUCAAGUCCUCAUGGCCCUUAUAGUGGGGCUACACACGUCAUACAAUGGCCGGUACAGAGGGUAGCCAACCCGCGAGGGGAGCCAAUCCCACAAAGCCGGUCGUAGUCCGGAUCGCAGUCUGCAACUCGACUGCGUGAAGUCGGAAUCGCUAGUAAUCGUGGAUCAGAAUGUCACGGUGAAUACGUUCCCGGGUCUU